AAAACCAAAAUAUUCAGGUUGGAAUUUUGCCCUAAUUUUGCUCUCUCUUCAGCAUUUCAGCCCUAGAAAAUCGUUUUCUUCUUUUCCUCCCGAUUUCCUCCAUCACUUGCAUCUCAUCUCUAUACCUCUUUCAUUUUUUCUCGCAUUCGUCUCUCUCGAAAAUAUGAUUUAAGGCCAAAUAUAUUGUCUUAAUCAAUCUCUCGAUUUCAGUUGGACGUCUCUUGUUCUAUCAUCAAUCCGCAUCGGUGUUGCCAUUCGUGCUGAGCGUCGUUGGCUAUUUGAGUUCGGCGUGUUCAUCUCGGUGCAAACCCUUGUUGCAUAUUUGAGGAAAUGGUCAUCCACUCCUAGGGAAAACACUUAGUGAGGGAUGCAGUUAUAGGACGAUUUGAGCCACAUUUGUAUUCCAUGAAUAUUCCAUAUGUGAAUGUGAACGAGGUCUUCUUACUGGUUCUUAUAAAGAACCAUUGGACACUCUACGUAUAUGACCUACCAAACAAGAGAAUCCAACUGCUAGAUUCUUGACCUGGUAGAAAGAAGACAACUUUGAGUGGAAUACAACAAAAUUUGGUAAAGUAACAAGUAACAACUAAUAAUUUGUUAGGUAUGUCUUGCCAGAAAAAUUUCAAUUGUUGCAUUAAUAAAUGUUUCAAGCUAAGGUUGUCCUAUGGUUGGCUGCACAUAAGAAAGAGGUCUCACCUUAUGAAUUGAGGACAUUCAAUUUCCUAACUCCUGAUGUACCCCAUCAACAUAAUGAGUGAGUGUUUAUCUUGCAGUCCAGUUUUAUGUUAAAACGGAUUGCAACUUAUUUUAAGUUCCUUUGUUAUUUAUAAUUCCACACUUAAUAACGUCUUGGUCAUUAUAUUGAGGUAGGCACGAUUGCAGAGUGUUUGUAAAGAAAUUCAUAGAGUUGUGGUCAAUGAGGGGGUUCUCCAAAUCAAUCGAUGUGGUACAUAGGAGGAAUUAUGUAUUAUCAUCUCAUUAAUGUUAAAAUAGUUACAAAAGCCUAAAUUAAUUAAUUUGUUGAUUUGUUGUUAUAAACUUGAAUGAAUGUAGGGAAAAUUGAAACAUUAUAGAUUGAAGAUUAUGGGGAGUUUGUUGUUUUCACCACAGAAUGCACACUGACAGUGUGUCCGGAGGGAUUAAUGGGGAUUUUAAUUUUUGAUGAGACUAUAUAAAUUUGAUUUGGCUCUAAUUUAUGUUGGACAAACGUAAUUCUAUAAAUGUAUUUGUAUGGUGCCACUUGCGUAACUGAACAAUGGGAGUAUGGGAGUAGUAGGAGUUGGACUAUUUUUUGAGUUAAGCUGAUUGACAUUGCAUUCUAAGUGAACAAGGAGAAUUAAAACCUUCGUUUCUGAUUGUAAAUGUAUGUUCAUUGUAAAUGUAUGAACAUGGAGAAAAUGUUUUAUUAUUUA